rnacentral:rRNA from 1 species
AGUACUAGGUGUCGGGGGUUACCCCCCUCGGUGCCGCAGCUAACGCAUUAAGUACUCCGCCUGGGAAGUACGCUCGCAAGAGUGAAACUCAAAGGAAUGGACGGGGACCCGCACAAGUAGCGGAGCAGGUGGUUUAAUUCGAAGCAACGCGAAGAACCUUACCUAAGCUUGACAUCCCAAUGACAUCUCCUUAAUCGGAGAGUUCCCUUCGGGGACAUUGGUGACA